rnacentral:lncRNA from 10 species
GAGCGCUCGGGACUUGCCGAUAGUGGUGACGGCGGCAACAUGUCUGUGGCUUUCGCGGCCCCGAGGCAGCGAGGCAAGGGGGAGAUCACUCCCGCUGCGAUUCAGAAGAUGUUGGAUGACAAUAACCAUCUUAUUCAGUGUAUAAUGGACUCUCAGAAUAAAGGAAAGACCUCAGAGUGUUCUCAAUCUGGCCAGUGGGAGCCCCUCAAGCUGGCUUCUUGAUAUGUCUUCAUUAUUUUUUGAACAUUUACUUAUUUUCUUAUACCACAAAAUGUUCUAGGCUCAUCCUGGUUUUUUUUUCCUGUGCAGGGUGAGUCCAAACUAUUCCAGAGUUGCAUAAAUUUCAAACAACAAAAAAAAUUAGUGUCGAUCAUUCAUCGUAAUUUAAAAGAGUUGUUUAAAUCUGUAGUUUGGAAGAUAACUUUUAUUCUAUAAAGUGCAUUCCCGUUGUCUAAUAAAUAUUCAUAGCUUCUAGGUAUCAGCAGAUGUUGCACACAAACUUGGUAUACCUUGCUACAAUAGCAGAUUCUAAUCAAAAUAUGCAGUCUCUUUUACCAGCACCACCCACACA